rnacentral:lncRNA from 1 species
CUUCAACUCGCUCCGGAAUAUGCAAGACAUCAAUAGAACUGUCAACCAAACAUAUUUUAUCCAAAAAAACAUGUCAGUGUUCAACAAACAAAACUUUCAUCUGUAAUCCUACUGUGAACAACAUCGACAUUAAUGGAUCAAGCUGUGAACAUUCAACAAGCCUAAACUUCAAGAUUGAGGGAAUAUAGAUACCCGUUGCCAAGACAACCAUUUUCAUUUGAGCCCCAUGUGUAUAGUUCACCACCACCUAUGACAAGGUAGUGAAAGGAAACAUGUUAGAUUACACUAAUCAUAAGUAUAUACAUCAUGUGUGUGUGUGUUGUUGUUGAGUCUGCUGCUGUUGUUGUUGAGUGUGUGAGAGAUCAAUUUUUUUCUAAAAUCUAGUCACCGGAACCAAUGGGUAUAAAGACAAUCCCUUUUAUGGGUCAGUGAAGAUGAAUGUAGUUUAGGCACUCCUCAACAGGUCUCUAAACAAAAAAUCAAGAAGAUUUACAUAAACCAACAUCAGGCUAAUGUUCUAAAGUCCAAUUUAUUCAUACCAUCCUUUUAGGAUCAGAUUGAUUAAACUAGGGAUUGACAAUCCUCCUGACAUGCCAACUGGCAAAAUAUUCAUGAAAUUUACCCAUGACGACCUGCAUCGAUUCCCUUACAAUGUCCCAAACAAUUAGAACAAAAGCACAGCGAACCUUUGGACCAAAGCUACUUUCGUUACUUCUAACUCAAAAUAUAUCUGCAAAUAUAUAUGUUUUAUUGGAAACAGAACAGUUAAUCGGUUCUUCAAUCAUAGAUCUAGAAAUAUCUUCAUGCUAAGACAAAACCUACAAAAUUGAGCAAUUCCAUCAUUACAAAAUCAAGCUUCCUGAUAAAUGACCACCUUUAUCCUCCAUAUCUUUAAUAAAAUUAUUCUUUCUGACAAUUAGCAUCCCUUUGAAAUAUCCUGGUAUAUUCCAUUCGUUCACCAUUUCUUUCUGACCAUUAGUGUCCUUUCCCAACUUCCUGUCUCAAGACCAUCAAUCU